GACGAACGCUGGCGGCGUGCCUAAUACAUGCAAGUCGAACGCAGUGGGGACGGGUGAGUAACACGUGGGUAACCUCCCAUCAGAGGGGAUAACCCUUGGAAACAGGUGCUAAACCGAUACUGAUGGAUGGACCCGCGGUGCAUUAGCUAGUGGGUGGGGUACCGGCUCACCAAGGCCACGAUGCAUAGCCGACCUGAGAGGGUGAUCGGCCACACUGGGACUGAGACACGGCCCAGACUCCUACGGGAGGCAGCAGUAGGGAAUAUUGGGCAAUGGGCGAAAGUCUGACGGAGCAACGCCGCGUGAGUGAAGAAGGUUUUCGGAUUGUAAAGCUCUGUUGUUAGAGAAGCGGUAUCUAACCAGAAAGCAACGGCUAACUACGUGCCAGCAGCCGCGGUAAUAC
rnacentral:rRNA from 1 species